AUUGAACGCUGGCGGCAGGCUUAACACAUGCAAGUCGAGCGGGGGAAGGUAGCUUGCUACUGGACCUAGCGGCGGACGGGUGAGUAAUGCUUAGGAAUCUGCCUAUUAGAGGGGGACAACAUCUCGAAAGGGAUGCUAAUACCGCAUACGUCCUACGGGAGAAAGCAGGGGAUCUUCGGACCUUGCGCUAAUAGAUGAGCCUAAGACGGAUUAGCUAGUUGGUGGGGUAAAGGCCUACCAAGGCGCCGAUCUGUAGCGGGUCUGAGAGGAUGGUCCGCCACACUGGGCCUGAGACACGGCCCAGACUCCUACGGGAGGCAGCAGUGGGGAAUAUUGGACGAUGGGGGGAACCCUGAUUUAGCCAUGCCGCGUGUGUGGAGAAGGCCUUAUGGUUGUAAAGCACUUUAAGCGAGGAGGAGGCUACUUUAGUUAAUACCUAGAGAUAGUGGACGUUACUCGCAGAAUAAGCACCGGCUAACUCUGUGCCAGCCGCCGCUGUAA
rnacentral:rRNA from 1 species